rnacentral:lncRNA from 1 species
CAAACAUAAUGCAUGGUGUUGGCGGUGGCCAUGGGUACCCGCAUCAGGGAUACCCUCCUCAAGGCUACCCACCACCACCAGGGGCGUACCCGCCUCCCCCUGGAGCGUAUCCUCCUCCACCCGGGGCUUACCCCCCUCCACCCGGGGCAUACCCACCACAGCAUGGGUACCCUCAACCAGGUGGUUACCCGCCACACGGUGGCUAUCCCCCUGCUGGUUAUCCGGGCUCGUCUCACCAGGGUAUGAAUUGCUCUUCCAUUCUAUGCUUAGCUUUUAAAAGUACAGAGUCAUCAGAAUGGAUAGCAAUAGCAUUCCUACUGAACUCCAUCAAGUACUUGUGCUUUUUUUGUUUCCAAAUAAAAAAUGGUAUUGGCUCAUUACAUUGAGUUUUGGAUCUUGUGGAUUGCUUCUUGUUCCUAAUCAUGCUAUGCUGCAAGAAACAAUUAAGCUGAUCAGUAACGCAUCGACUUUGGUAUGAUGAAAUAGUUCUAGCUCUGUUGUGUUGGAUUGCGCUUUAUUCCUAAUUACAUAAUUGUUCUGUACUUGUCUCCAAAAGGUGCACCAACUUUGAUUUCAUUAUCUGACAAGCAGCUACCAUUGUGAUUUCAGAAAUCUGUAGUCCUAUUGCGUCAAAUCAGCCAAAUGGUGAAGCUCAUUUCAUGCUAAU